rnacentral:rRNA from 1 species
GACGAACGCUGGUGGCGUGCUUAACACAUGCAAGUCGAACGGGAUUUCGUAAACAGAAUCCUCGUUGGUAGAUUACUAAUGAGAUUGUCGAACGGGUGAGUAACUCGUUAGCAACCUUCCUUUGACAGUGGGAUAGCCUCGUGAAACCGGGAUUAAUACCGCAUAAAAUCGUAGAAACACAUGUUUUAACGUUCAAAGAUUUAUCGGUCAUAGAUGGGCUCGCUUCUGAUUAGCUAGUUGGUGAGAUAACAGCCCACCAAGGCGACGAUCAGUAGCCGGUCAGAGAGGAAGAACGGCCACAUUGGAACUGAGACACGGUCCAAACUCCUACGGGAGGCAGCAGUGGGGAAUAUUGCACAAUGGGGGAAACCAUGAUGAAGCGACGCCGCGUGAACGAAGAAGGUAUUCGUAUCGUAAAGUUCUGUCCUAUGGGAAGAUAAUGACAGUACCAUAGAAGAAAGCACCGGCUAAAUACGUG